GGUAAAGUGGCUGAGUUAAGCGGCGGGUUGUAGCCCCGAGGACAGAGGUUUAAGUCCUCUCUUUAUCA
rnacentral:tRNA from 1 species